CCACGUGGACUAGUAGAGACUUAUGUCUCUGGUAGUUGGCAGCGCUAACUUACACGUUAUCUAACAGCUUCGAUAUAAUUGAGUAUCUUUCGCCGUACUUCGAUACUUGCCGUCUGUACUUAUAUUUAUUUAUUUAUUUUUUAAGUCUGAGUAUCGACGAAUUUACAGUGCGACUAUGCUGUGUUAUGCAAAAACCUAUAUGGAGUCCAUAAAAACGAAAACGGGAAAUGGCUAACAUGCUGUGAUGCAGGCCGACGCAAGACCAAGCUGAUCCAUGCCAGCUGCUCUGUUCAGGUGCUGGCUGAGGCAUUAGACGUGUACAGUGUGUGUACUCCUGCUAUCAUAGAUCAUUGUGACUGGCAGCAGGAGUAUGACUGACUGGACAGAAAUGCAUGCACUCAGACUUGCUGAACUGAGAUGUGUGGUGCACACCCCCAGAUGGGAACUGCUGAUCAGCUCUGAGCCCCUGAGAAAUGGAGCCACUAAGCAAGGGAGCCUUGAGGGAUGAAGGAGCAACCAGAUUCUGACUUGGGGGUUUCUAUAGUACAUUUAAUGCAGUCAGUGAAGAGAGAAUUGCAUCUGUCCAUAUGCUUUGUACAAUGUCUCCAUCAAUGAAAGUACAUUUAUAAAAUACACAUAUAUGAUUUGUCAUUAGUAUAUAUGGUGGUCCCAUGAAAUUAUUACUUUGGUUUAGUUGGGGAUUUAUUUGGUGCUCAUUGCAAAGUUGCUAGUGAAAACAUUUUUAUCUUCUGAAAUGUAGUACCUUCUUUUGUUAUUUUUAUAAUGAAAAAUAUUCUAGGGUUCCAAUGUUUGUAAUUUCAGACAUGAUUAAUAUAAAAUUAAAUUAGUUUGAUAUUGUAUUAUUCUGAUCUUUGUCUAUGUAGGACUUGCCAUCAGCACUUCAAAAACUUAGGUAACCUUUUGACGAAUGUUAAAUACUGUGUGUCUUUAUUAACAAAAAUAUUAAAAACAUUGAUGUAUUAAAGGAUCCAGAAUUUUACACUUUA